GUGCUGGCAGUGUCUUAAAGUUGGUGAGUUCUGAUAGAUGAAUGUUAGUAGUUGUGAAGCAGCAUUUAUAAUCUUGGAGUUAUGGUUAGGAAUUUUUAGUUUUGGAUUGGGUUCAUGAGAGAGUUUUUGAAAGAGGCAAGUGUUUUUGUAAAACAUCUAGCUAGAUUGUUUUGUGUUGUUAGUACUUUCACAUCAUCAUAAUCUGAGCCCUUGGUUUUUCAUCAUAAUUAUAUUUGGUGGUAACAAUUCAGUGAUAAGACAUCAGCAGAAUCCAGUGGAGUGGAGGCAGAGAAGCCCCACAAAUAAAGGCUUCUCUAGUGGUGCUGAAAUGAGGUGAUGAUUCCACAAAAACUCAACUAGCAACCAGAGUAUCUUUAUACAUCUCCUGCAUUCAUUGCAAGAAGAAUGGAUUUCAACUCUCAGGGAGGCAGAGUCAUACCUGAAGAUUUAACUGACAUGAGGUGGACACAGCCUCCUUCCCACCACCCUCCAGUGACAGUCCUGUUCCAGCCUAGCUUCAGUGGACAAAGCAUCCAGUCACAACAUGUGCAACCACUGUAUGCCACAAGGAUGCUUCCUUGUGCUGUGGAGGAUACAACAAAGCUUGUUUCUUUUGGAAGCGAGCCACUAUGUUGCACAGAAGCUCAGGCUGGACAACAGGAUAAUGAGAGGCCAGAUAGAGGGAGGUCUACACAAUGAGACCAUCUUGGACAUCUUGGACAUUCCAGCCACAAUAGAUCUCC
rnacentral:lncRNA from 1 species